rnacentral:rRNA from 1 species
UACGGGGGGUGCAAGCGUUAUUCGGAAUUAUUGGGCGUAAAGGGCGCGUAGGCGGUUGAAUAAGUCAGAUGCGAAAGCCCUUGGCUUAACCAAGGAAGUGCAUUUGAUACUAUUUGACCUGAGUAUGGGCGAGGGAAGUGGAAUUCCUGGUGUAGAGGUGAAAUUCGUAGAUAUCAGGAGGAACACCGGUGGCGAAAGAGACUUCCUGGACCAAUAAUGACGCUGAGGCGCGAAGGCGUGGGGAGCAAACAGG